rnacentral:lncRNA from 1 species
CCGAGCCGUUGGGCCCUGGCUGCAUGUUUGUUUUUUAUAAGAUUCUAUUUGCUCGGAAUCCAGAAGAACAAAAGAAACAUUCUCUUCUCCCUCGUACCCGUGUGUCGAAAAACACAAUUUCUCUUCUGCUUGGCUCGUGACCAGGGAAUUGGGACCCGUGUCCUGAGCGAAAGCGAGCGCGACAGCCCCGGCGCAGGCGGGCAGAGCAGUGGCAGCCUGAACUCGAGCCGGGCCUGCUUCCUAACGGCGAAACGAACGUCAGGGGAGAUUGAUAUACUGCGUCAUACUACCAGACACAGUCUAAAGCAACUGAACUUCUCAUUCACCUGGGAAGAGAGCAUGGCCAAGAACAGAAACCCAGGAAAGUCAACUGGCAAAGAUGCACCCAAUUGGCUUUCCGACUUUUGA